GGAAAGUCAACAGCCAUAUUUGCCGAUGUGGAAAUCAGGCUUCAGAGAGAUGUUAAUGGGACCCACCAUGAGCCCCCUGAUAGACCACCUGCAGAUGACGAAGACCUCCUGAUUGCUAGAUGGUGCUGCGUGACUCGGAUCGGCAGGCGAGUGAUCUGGAAUCCCCAUUCCGAGUCCCCUGCUGAUUCACGAACCAGACUGCGUCCUGAAUUAAUUCCUCACUUCUCAACACUUGGGAGCUGCUAAACUUGUCACUGCUGGUUUGCAAACAACAACAGUCUAAUUCAUUUACCACAGAGAUAACAGCAACACUUGAAAUUCUGAGACAGGUAAACCGACACAAGGUGGAGCUACCUGGGCCCCCCACCCUUGGACCAUGCCUCAAAUGCAGCAGAAGGACAUUGGGCAAGAGAGUGCCCCAACCUGGCGUUCCUUUGGGAUCUUACCCCAGGGCUCUGGACUGUCCUAGCCACCAGAGAGUGGGUAAGCCAUCCUAACUUCUAGCCCUUACAGGAAAUGCCAACACUGCCAGAUUCAUCGCUGACAGAUCUGCUUAAACUUGCUGCUGAAGACUUACGUGGCUCAGGGCCAACAGUAGCCCACUUUAAGGUGUCUGUCUCAGAGUCCAAGUCCCACUAAAAG